GGAAGGAACAUCAGUGGCGAAGGCGACGCCCUGGCUUGAUACUGACACUGAGGUGCGAAAGCGUGGGAGCAAACAGGAUUAGAUACCCUGGUAGUCCACGCCGUAAACGAUGUCUACUAGCCGUUGGGGGACUUGAUCCCUUAGUGGCGAAGCUAACGCGAUAAGUAGACCGCCUGGGGAGUACGGUCGCAAGAUUAAAACUCAAAUGAAUUGACGGGGGCCCGCACAAGCGGUGGAGCAUGUGGUUUAAUUCGACGCAACGCGAAAAACCUUACCUGGUCUUGACAUCCUGUGAACUUUCUAGAGAUAGAUUGGUGCCUUCGGGAACACAGUGACAGGUGCUGCAUGGCUGUCGUCAGCUCGUGUCGUGAGAUGUUGGAUUAAGUCCCGUAACGAGCGCAACCCUUGUCCUUAUUUGCCAGCACGUAAUGGUGGGAACUCUAAGGAGACUGCCGGUGACAAACCGGAGGAAGGUGGGGACGACGUCAAGUCAUCAUGGCCCUUAUGACCAGGGCUACACACGUGCUACAAUGGGGCGUACAGAGGGUUGCUAAGCCGCGAGGUGGAGCCAAUCCCAGAAAACGUUUCGUAGUCCGGAUCGAAGUCUGCAACUCGACUUCGUGAAGUCGGAAUCGCUAGUAAUCGCGAAUCAGCAUGUCGCGGUGAAUACGUUCCCGGGCCUUGU
rnacentral:rRNA from 1 species